rnacentral:rRNA from 1 species
CAGAUGUGAAAGACCCGGGGCGUCAACCUCGGAAUUGCAUUUGAAACUAGGCAAACUAGAGUACUGUAGAGGGGGGUAGGAAUUUCAGGUGUAGCGGUGAAAUGCGUAGAGAUCUGAAGGAAUACCGGUGGCGAAGGCGGCCCCCUCGGACAGAUACUGACACUCAGAUGCGAAAGCGUGGGGAGCAAACAGGAUUAGAUACCCUGGUAG